rnacentral:rRNA from 1 species
GCGGCCGGGUCAAAGUAUAAACUGCUGAUACUGUGAACCUGCGAAGGGCUCAUUAAAUCAUUUAUAGUUAAUUUGGUGGUACCUUACUACUCUGAUAACCGUAAUACUUCUACAGCUAAUAGCUGCAUAACUCCCGACUUCUGGAAGGGACGUAUAUAUUAAAUAAAAAGCCGACCGAGCUUUGCUCGACCCGCGGUGAAUCAUGAUAUCUUCGCGAAUCGCAUGGUCUUGUGCCGGCGCUGUUCCAUUCAAAUUUCUGCCCUAUGAACUUUCGAGGGUAGGAUAGAGGCCUACCAUGGGGGUAACGGGUGACGGAAGAUUACGGUUCGAUUCCGGACAGGGAGCCUGAAAAGCGGCUACCACAUCCAUUGAACGCACCAAGCUCGCGGAUUACCCGAUCCUGAUACGGGGAGGUAGGGACAAUGAAUAACCAUACCGGGCAUUUCAUGUCUGGUAAUUGAACUGAGAACAAUCGAAAUCCCUUUACGAGGAUCCAUUGCACGGCAAGUCUGGUGCCAGCAGCCGCGGUAAUUCCAGCUCCAAUAGCGUAUAUUUAAGUUGAUGCACUGAACUAGCUCGUAGUUGGACUUCGGGUGGGUUCGAGCGGUCCGCCUAUGGUGAGUACUGCUAUGGCCUUCAUUUCGGUCGGGGACGGGCUCCUGGUCUUCUGUGUCCAGGACUCGGAGUCGACGUGGGUACUUUGAGUUAAAUAUAUAGUGUUGAAGCAGGCUUACGCCACCACUACUGUCUAUUAUGAUAUAUCGCGAUCUGACGUCUGGACUAUCAUGUAGACUGGUAGGAUCUGCAUAAAUGACUAACAGACGACGAACAUGUGGCAUUCUUAUUUUUCAAUUGUCACUUA